UCAGAAAUAAAUGGUGAGAUAUUUCCGGUUGAUACAACAGAUUUGAUGUAAAAAACAUCCCUCUUGUACCAGAAAUUGAAAAUCACAUCUUAUAACAAUAUAUAAUGCUCAACGCAAAAGAAAAGUUCCGGUUAAUUCCGCAAGUACCAUUGUGAAUCUGAAACAGAAUAUGUUUUACUACACAAAGAAAUAACCUAAUUAUGUAUACAUAUCAUCACAGAACACGGUGGUAGUGUCGUGCCAAGUGAACGCGAAGCGUGAGAUGCUCGAGUAUUAUACAUACGCAAGUAUGCGACUUGCACACAAGAUAACCAUGUAAAUCGUAAUAACGACUGAACCAUCUAAGUACUGACUAAGAUCAAUCAAAAGGAUUCGAUUUGUAUAAGAAAACUGUGUAUAAGAAAACUUCUUAUUUUUUAUUUUACGUGUCCUAUGAUAGAAGGUACAAAAUCCAAAAUACGAAAUUUCGUUUUAAGAAAAGACAUAGUUCUUGUUCAGUAUAUAAAUUCAACAUUAGAGAUCUUUAAAAGUUAUCUGUGACAGUUUCCUAUAAAAUAUAUACUGCAUAUUGAGAUGAUGAUAAAUCGCUGUCAUUCGUUUUACGAGUGUAAAAAAUAAGUAAAUAUUAAAUAAUUUAUCUGUAAAUUAUACGAUUAAUAAUAAUAAUCCCUUAUAAGAAAAGUCGUGUAGAUCCGAAAAGUGAGCGUUUUAUCAUCGCUUUUCCACGUACAUUGACGAUCGUGUCCGCAACGAGUUUCACGGUGAUAAUGUAAUGGUCCAUGGUUAAUAACGCACUUAUUUAAAUCGUUGGUCCUCUUACCACUUAUUGAGCCUACGUUUUAACUACAACAUAAUCAAGCAAGUAUUAAAUUUAAUUUACUGUUUCUCUAUCUCGUUUAACAAUUUAUUACAUCAAACACAUAAUACGAAGAAAUCGGUCAUAUUUACAGCGAGUAAAUACAUAAAUUAAAAAAUAAGUUGGUGCUCAAAAACGCUUUGAAAAAGUAAAACUACCCUUCAAAAAUAAAGACAUUUUUGUCUCGAUAUUGUGGUAUUUUAUAAUAUUAAUCAAUUUUAUUUUACGAUGAUAAUGUAUAGUAUUUUGGUCUCGGAACCGUUGCAAAAUUCAGACAGAUGUUAGCGCAAGCGAAGGACGCUGAACAGAAACAUGUUAUUCUGACGACGGCGCGUGACGAUGUAUUUUCUAACGUUCCUGUUACGGGAGAACGUUCGGAUUGUGGACGUAAACAUAUAGUGUAAUUCUAUGUAGAUUGUGAAAGCGUGGGAGAGGGGGCGUGUGAGGUAAAGUCACCGAUGAAAAAUUUUUCUCCUAGAUUUCAUUAUUCUUGAUUGUGGUAAUCACGGAGGAGAUUUUGAGAGAUACGUGAGCCGGUGUCUCAUGGCACGAGUUGUAUGGACUCAAGAUGGCCAUCAAGCCCAUUGUAAUGCGAUUUCAAGACUUGAAAUUCAAGCCCGGGCACGCUCGCGCAAACGUCACACUCCCCCUAUCCGUGAAACACGCGCGCUCGGCUGCGAUCGGCGCGGCGUGAGCCGUCGCGCACUCGGCUACGUUCACAGCAGGUUCGUCCUACAGAGAUAUACAUAUAAUAUAUGUAGAAGCAACCUUCUGUGAGCGGAGCUGUCCGCAUCUUCUAUUCUAUGGGAUAGAACGAUAUGUAGUUAGAGUCCUAUAAUAGAGAAGCGCGAUCUUGUUCCUACUUUCUGAUUGGUCGGGUUCACGUGACUUAUAUGUGUGUUGUUACACAAUGUAAAUAAAUGCACACAUGUAAUCAUGGUAGGUACACAUAUACGCAACCUACGCGGCUGUCCGAUCCUAAGAUGGCAGCGGGUGGCAAGGUGGAGGUAGAGUUCGCGCUUCUCUGAUUAUAGGACUCUACAUAUAUGUAGUAAAGUGUUGUCUUCGUCACUCAACUAGUCUAAUGGGAGAGCGCUCCCCGCUCCCCGUACAUCGAAGCGUGCGUGGGAUACGAAGAGCGCCGUAUAAUUCGCUAAUCUUACGAGUUCGAAUAUUGACUUUUAAUUAAUUAUUCGUUACAGUAAACAACAAUCCAUUGUAUUUCAAUAAUUUACCUGUCAAACCACCAUCAAAUAAUUUACCUGUGGAAAAAAAUUAACACAUGAAACAUCCUCAUAUCUCAUAAAAACAAAUUUUGUUGAGAAUAUCUCAACAAACAAAGAUAUUAAUUCUACGUCCCAUGAAACUCUUCAACCAAGUCAUUCUCAUGUUGCUGCUGUUCUCUAAGUUUUAGUAGAGGAAGACAGGAAGAACUGAAUGGGAAAGUAGAACAUGUAAUCCUGAUGCUUCAAAGAAUUUAUCGCAAGCUAGCCCCAAA